rnacentral:rRNA from 1 species
GGGGGGGCAAGCGUUGUUCGGAAUUACUGGGCGUAAAGGGCGCGCAGGCGGGCGGGAAAGUCUCUCGUGAAAGCCCACGGCUCAACCGUGGAAUUGCGGGAGAUACUACUCGUCUUGAGUUCGGGAGAGGAGUGUGGAAUUCCCAGUGUAGCGGUGAAAUGCGUAGAUAUUGGGAGGAACACCGGUGGCGAAGGCGGCACUCUGGACCGGUACUGACGCUGAGGCGCGAAAGCUAGGGGAGCAAACGGGAUUAGAUACCCCGGGUAGUCCUAGCUGUAAACGCUGAGCACUUGGUGUAGCGGGUAUCGACCCCCCUGCUGUGCCGAAGCUAACGCAUUAAGUGCUCCGCCUGGGGGAGUACGGUCGCAAGGCUG